UUUGGUUAAGUUAGAAAGGGCGCACGGUGGAUGCCUUGACACUAGGAGUCGAUGAAGGACGGGACUAACGCCGAUAUGCUUCGGGGAGCUGUAAGUAAGCUUUGAUCCGAAGAUUUCCGAAUGGGGAAACCCACCAUACGUAAUGGUAUGGUAUCCUUAUCUGAAUACAUAGGGUAAGGAAGACAGACCCAGGGAACUGAAACAUCUAAGUACCUGGAGGAAGAGAAAGCAAAUGCGAUUUCCUGAGUAGCGGCGAGCGAAACGGAACAUAGCCCAAACCAAGAGGCUUGCCUCUUGGGGUUGUAGGACAUUCUAUACGGAGUUACAAAGGAACGAGGUAGACGAAGCGACCUGGAAAGGUCCGUCGUAGAGGGUAACAACCCCGUAGUCGAAACUUCGUUCUCUCUUGAAUGUAUCCUGAGUACGGCGGAACACGUGAAAUUCCGUCGGAAUCUGGGAGGACCAUCUCCCAAGGCUAAAUACUCCCUAGUGAUCGAUAGUGAACCAGUACCGUGAGGGAAAGGUGAAAAGCACCCCGGAAGGGGAGUGAAAGAGAUCCUGAAACCGUGUGCCUACAAAUAGUCAGAGCCCGUUAACGGGUGAUGGCGUGCCUUUUGUAGAAUGAACCGGCGAGUUACGAUCCCGUGCGAGGUUAAGCUGAAGAGGCGGAGCCGCAGCGAAAGCGAGUCUGAAUAGGGCGUUUAGUACGUGGUCGUAGACCCGAAACCAGGUGAUCUACCCAUGUCCAGGGUGAAGUUCAGGUAACACUGAAUGGAGGCCCGAACCCACGCACGUUGAAAAGUGCGGGGAUGAGGUGUGGGUAGCGGAGAAAUUCCAAUCGAACCUGGAGAUAGCUGGUUCUCCCCGAAAUAGCUUUAGGGCUAGCCUUAAGUGUAAGAGUCUUGGAGGUAGAGCACUGAUUGGACUAGGGGUCCUCAUCGGAUUACCGAAUUCAGUCAAACUCCGAAUGCCAAUGACUUAUCCUUAGGAGUCAGACUGCGAGUGAUAAGAUCCGUAGUCAAAAGGGAAACAGCCCAGACCGCCAGCUAAGGUCCCAAAGUGUGUAUUAAGUGGAAAAGGAUGUGGAGUUGCUUAGACAACUAGGAUGUUGGCUUAGAAGCAGCCACCAUUUAAAGAGUGCGUAAUAGCUCACUAGUCGAGUGACUCUGCGCCGAAAAUGUACCGGGGCUAAAUACACCACCGAAGCUGCGGAUUGAUACCAAUGGUAUCAGUGGUAGGGGAGCGUUCUAAGGACAGUGAAGUCAGACCGGAAGGACUGGUGGAGUGCUUAGAAGUGAGAAUGCCGGUAUGAGUAGCGAAAGACGGGUGAGAAUCCCGUCCACCGAAUGCCUAAGGUUUCCUGAGGAAGGCUCGUCCGCUCAGGGUUAGUCAGGACCUAAGCCGAGGCCGACAGGCGUAGGCGAUGGACAACAGGUUGAUAUUCCUGUACCACCUCUUUAUCGUUUGAGCAAUGGAGGGACGCAGAAGGAUAGAAGAAGCGUGCGAUUGGUUGUGCACGUCCAAGCAGUUAGGCUGAUAAGUAGGCAAAUCCGCUUAUCGUAAAGGCUGAGCUGUGAUGGGGAAGCUCCUUAUGGAGCGAAGUCUUUGAUUCCCCGCUGCCAAGAAAAGCUUCUAGCGAGAUAAAAGGUGCCUGUACCGCAAACCGACACAGGUAGGCGAGGAGAGAAUCCUAAGGUGUGCGAGAGAACUCUGGUUAAGGAACUCGGCAAAAUGACCCCGUAACUUCGGGAGAAGGGGUGCUUUCUUAACGGAAAGCCGCAGUGAAUAGGCCCAAGCGACUGUUUAGCAAAAACACAGCUCUCUGCGAAGCCGUAAGGCGAAGUAUAGGGGGUGACACCUGCCCGGUGCUGGAAGGUUAAGGAGAGGGGUUAGCGUAAGCGAAGCUCUGAACUGAAGCCCCAGUAAACGGCGGCCGUAACUAUAACGGUCCUAAGGUAGCGAAAUUCCUUGUCGGGUAAGUUCCGACCCGCACGAAAGGUGUAACGAUUUGGGCACUGUCUCAACCAGAGACUCGGUGAAAUUAUAGUACCUGUGAAGAUGCAGGUUACCCGCGACAGGACGGAAAGACCCCGUGGAGCUUUACUGUAGCCUGAUAUUGAAUUUUGGUACAGUUUGUACAGGAUAGGCGGGAGCCUUUGAAACCGGAGCGCUAGCUUCGGUGGAGGCGCUGGUGGGAUACCGCCCUGACUGUAUUGAAAUUCUAACCUACGGGUCUUAUCGACCCGGGAGACAGUGUCAGGUGGGCAGUUUGACUGGGGCGGUCGCCUCCUAAAGUGUAACGGAGGCGCCCAAAGGUUCCCUCAGAAUGGUUGGAAAUCAUUCGUAGAGUGCAAAGGCAUAAGGGAGCUUGACUGCGAGACCUACAAGUCGAGCAGGGACGAAAGUCGGGCUUAGUGAUCCGGUGGUUCCGCAUGGAAGGGCCAUCGCUCAACGGAUAAAAGCUACCCCGGGAUAACAGGCUUAUCUCCCCCAAGAGUCCACAUCGACGGGGAGGUUUGGCACCUCGAUGUCGGCUCAUCGCAUCCUGGGGCUGUAGUCGGUCCCAAGGGUUGGGCUGUUCGCCCAUUAAAGCGGUACGCGAGCUGGGUUCAGAACGUCGUGAGACAGUUCGGUCCCUAUCCGUCGUGGGCGUAGGAAAUUUGAGAGGAGCUGUCCUUAGUACGAGAGGACCGGGAUGGACGCACCGCUGGUGUACCAGUUGUUCUGCCAAGGGCAUAGCUGGGUAGCUAUGUGCGGAAGGGAUAAGUGCUGAAAGCAUCUAAGCAUGAAGCCCCCCUCAAGAUGAGAUUUCCCAUAGCGUAAGCUAGUAAGAUCCCUGAAAGAUGAUCAGGUUGAUAGGUUCGAGGUGGAAGCAUGGUGACAUGUGGAGCUGACGAAUACUAAUAGAUCGAGGACUUAACCAUAUAA
rnacentral:rRNA from 1 species